rnacentral:misc_RNA from 1 species
CCGAGUUAUACAACUCCUCAACCCCUGUGAACAUACCUAACUUGUUGCCUCGGCGGAAUCAGCCCGCUCCCGUAAAACGGGACGCCCCGCCAGAGGACCCCUAACUCUGUUUCUGUAAUGUACUUCUGAGUAAACACGUAAAUAAAUC